rnacentral:rRNA from 1 species
GGGGAAUUUUCCGCAAUGGGCGAAAGCCUGACGGAGCAAUACCGCGUGAGGGAGGAAGGCUCUUGGGUCGUAAACCUCUUUUCUCAAGGAAGAAAAAAAUGACGGUACUUGAGGAAUAAGCAUCGGCUAACUCCGUGCCAGCAGCCGCGGUAAUACGGAGGAUGCAAGCGUUAUCCGGAAUGAUUGGGCGUAAAGGGUCCGCAGGUGGAACUGAAAGUCUGCUGUUAAAGAAUUUGGCUCAACCAGAUAAAAGCAGUGGAAACUACAGAACUAGAGUAUGGUAGGGGUAGAAGGAAUUCCUAGUGUAGCGGUGAAAUGCGUAGAUAUUAGGAAGAACACCGGUGGCGAAAGCGUUCUACUAGACCAAGACUGACACUGAGGGACGAAAGCUAGGGGAGCGAAUGGGAUUAGAUACCCCAGUAGUC